rnacentral:lncRNA from 10 species
GGGAGUUGCCACGGGAAGUGAGAGGCAAGGAGACUGACUGAAGUGAUCCUAUGCCUUCACCCAUCUACUACUCUCACUGUUUCUUCUUGUAGGCUGUAGAAGCUUUGAUGGGAUCAAUCAUCAUGCUGGUUGUCACACAAGUGGCAUCAGGGAAAAGGAAGACAGGUGCCACACAACUGUGUGAGUCUGAGAAAGAGGCAGGGUACAUAAAACGGAAUGAUCUAGGCCAGGGUCACUUAGUGUGUGUGUGUAAAAGGAGUCUCUCCCUCACAUCUCUUAAUGACUAGUUUUCAGCAAUUUCCUUUAGCAUCUCUUGCAGGGGAAAGGGACAGAGAGGAUAGUGGAACAAAAACCUAUCACUGUGGCUACCCUGCCGACAGCUUGCUAUGUCUGCUCUAAAGAGGCUGUUGAAGAGACUGCUUCUUCAAUGCGGAUGGGCACUGGAUGCUUUGCCCACCAUCCAGGGUCCUCUAUAUAAAAACUUUUUGUAGGAUUUUUUUUUUUUUUUAGUGAACAGGAAACUCUUGUCUCUUUAGUGAAUAUGGUACACUUUCUUUCAUCUGACAAUAAUAGCUAAGUAAAGAAUGUGGUUUCCUAUGUUGCCUAGGCUGCUGGGGAACUCCAAAGUACUCCACAGCUCAAUCACAGCACUUAUUCAAUCGUGGGUGUUGGCAUUUUAUGAUGACUUAUAAGUUAUUAUAAUUAAGAGUGGAAUGAUUACAUUAUGUGCGUACUUGCUUCCAUGUUAUAUUUCUGCUUUAUUAAUGCUCAUCACACUUUAAUCCCUAUGAGGUGAGGAUCUUUGUAGAUCUGCCUGUUAAUGUGGUUAUUAUUUCUCCCUCCCCAUUUCCAUGAGGGCAGGGAUGUUUUCUGAUUAAUUCUUAUCCAAUAUUGGCACUGGGUCUGGCACACAUAAAAUAAUAAAUACUUAUUGAUGAAAUGACUGCAUAAACAUUUUGGAAAUUUGUGGCAAUUAAUCUUUUUUUUUUUGCAAGGAGCAAUCAAUACACGGUUUGUUUGCAAACUGCAAGAAGAGAGGUGCCAUGACCACCUUAUUUAUUAUAGUAUUUCCAGUGCUUCACACCAAACCUGUUAUUUAAUGGGUUCUAAAUACUAGUUUUCUGAAUAAUGGAUGAAUGAAUGGAUGAAAGAUGAAUAUGUAGGUGGAGCAACAGAUGGAUAAAUAGAAGAUGAUAGCUAGGUGUGGUGGCACAUGACUGUAAUCCCAGCACAUUGGGAGGCCAAGAUAGGAGGAGCACUUGAGACCAGCCUGGGCAAGAUGGUGAGACUCCCGCCUCUACAAAAAAUAUAAAAAUUAGCCAGGCAUGGUGGUGCAUACCUACAGUCCCAGCUACUUGGAAGGCUAAGGCAAGAGAUUGCUUGGGCCCAGAAGUUCGAGGCUGCAGUGAGCUAUGACUGUGCCACUGCACUCAGCCUUGAUGACAAAGUGAGACCUCAUCUCAAAAAAAAAGAGGGGACAGAUUAAGGGAGAAGAGUUGGGAAAUGAAUUCAUACGAAAACGGUGGAUACUGACUUAAAAUUCAGGGUUUGGUGUGAUAUUUAGUUUUAAAUUCUCAUACACAACAUCCUUGUGGGUGAUUUAGACUGAGAGUCUCAGUGAAAUGAGUUUUCAGUCAGGAUGAUUAAGUUGGGCCACAGAAUCAGUUUCCCAGAGAGGUCUAAAACCUGACAGAAAAUAUGUCUUGUUUUUGUCUCUGCUAUUUGGCAGAAAAAUCCCUGAUGUUAUGAAAGUCCAGGUAUUAAAUUAAUAAAUUUUUAUUAAGAUACUGCCAUUGUCCCCAAUGAGUAUAUAAACCACAAUUUCAACAUUUAAACUAAAUCUUGAAGGUGAAAUUGCUUAUUAAGAGUAAGCUACAGGGACUAUCCAGGAGAAGAAACAAGAUAAAAAAAGAUAAGUCCUUCUGUUCUAAUAAAAACUCAACUACUUAAUUAUUGAAAAUCUUAAGAAAAAAAAAAGGUAUGAGGGCAAAAGGAAGCUGCCAAUCACAUGAGCAAGCCAACAUUGUCAGGAGCCUCUAAUAAAAUAAACAAAACAACCACAACACAAUGGUCCUGAGCUAAGACCACUGUGCACAUAUGCACAGAGCUAUUGCCAAAUCUAAGUGAGUCACAACCCAGGUACAAUCAGUGUGCUUUUAAUUAUGCAUCCUGCAUAAUUGACCUUAUGUGUCAUUACUUGAAUGGCUUUCUGGUACCAGGACAUCCAGCUUCCCUGUGAAUUCCCUCUGACCCCACCAGAAAAAUCCCAUAAUCAUCUGUCUCCCUGGCAGGACAUCAUCAAAAUUCAAACUGGGAAAGGGAAACCACUUUCAAGCCACCUGUACAGAACUCUCACUGAUCACAGAUGUUAGCAGCACUUUACAUCCAACAGCAGCCCUUGGCCGACAGCUCCCAAAUUUUGUACAGCAACUGCCAGUGUGUGCCAGCAAUGCUGUGAAAACCCUCAACCCUGUCCUGGCACAGAAAUCAGGAGUUAGAAUGCAAAAUACAGAUUCUAUCUGUAUAAAGCACACAAGAGAUGCUUGGGAUCUGGUGAUGCUGCACCGGAGAUUUCAACCUGUUUUUCAAAGUGAUUCCUAGGGAGUGUGACGAUCUCAACUCUUUUGGAAGUGACUUGUCAAACCAUGAGCCAUGCUGAGUUCAGCACAAGUAAUAUGAGGCGAGGCAAGGCAAGUGGGUGAGUAAGGAGGAAGCAGCCCAGAUGAGCCGGCAGAGUGCCCACUGGGAGUGAGGCAUGAUGAGGAUUACUCGUCGUGGGAGGCAUGAGGGCACUCUCUGGCAAGGUUCCUUGCAUCACCAAAAUGAGGUCACCAUGGAAGCCUGGCUCCCAGACCUCAGAGGGCAUAAGGCACACUCAGUAGUUUGUCAGAAAUGCAGCAGCCCAGGUCCCACCACUGGGGGCCGAGGAAUCUGCAGUAUUAACAAAAAUUCCAGGAGAUUCUGAUACAGAGAAUCUGAGGACCAUAUUUAAGGAAACUCUGAUAUGGUAGAGUAUUACUCUUUCAAAUCAGGCAAACUCAGAUAGGCAUCCUUUAACAAAGUGCUUUGGGGCCCUCUCUGUCUCAGUUUCUCCAUUUAUAAAGGGAAAAUAGUAAGACUCACUUCACAAGAUUAUU